rnacentral:rRNA from 1 species
GAUGAACGCUGGCGGUAUGCUUAACACAUGCAAGUCGAACGGACUCUUCGGAGUUAGUGGCGGACGGGUGAGUAACGCGUGAGAAACUGGCUUUGGGUUCGGGACAACCACUGGAAACGGUGGCUAAUACCGGAUGUGCCGAGAGGUAAAAGAGAAAUUGCCUGAAGAUGAGCUCGCGUCUGAUUAGCUAGUUGGUGAGGUAAAGGCUCACCAAGGCAGCGAUCAGUAGCUGGUCUGAGAGGAUGACCAGCCACACUGGGACUGAGACACGGCCCAGACUCCUACGGGAGGCAGCAGUGGGGAAUUUUCCGCAAUGGGCGAAAGCCUGACGGAGCAAUACCGCGUGAGGGAAGAAGGCUCUUGGGUUGUAAACCUCUUUUCUUAGGGAAGAACAAAAUGACGGUACCUAAGGAAUCAGCAUCGGCUAACUCCGUG